AAUAGACUACCCCGGUAGUCCACGCCGUAAACGAUGAGUGCUAAGUGUUAGGGGGUUUCCGCCCCUUAGUGCUGCAGCUAACGCAUUAAGCACUCCGCCUGGGGAGUACGGUCGCAAGACUGAAACUCAAAGGAAUUGACGGGGGCCCGCACAAGCGGUGGAGCAUGUGGUUUAAUUCGAAGCAACGCGAAGAACCUUACCAGGUCUUGACAUCCUCUGACAAUCCUAGAGAUAGGACGUCCCCUUCGGGGGCAGAGUGACAGGUGGUGCAUGGUUGUCGUCAGCUCGUGUCGUGAGAUGUUGGGUUAAGUCCCGCAACGAGCGCAACCCUUGAUCUUAGUUGCCAGCAUUCAGUUGGGCACUCUAAGGUGACUGCCGGUGACAAACCGGAGGAAGGUGGGGAUGACGUCAAAUCAUCAUGCCCCUUAUGACCUGGGCUACACACGUGCUACAAUGGACAGAACAAAGGGCAGCGAAACCGCGAGGUUAAGCCAAUCCCACAAAUCUGUUCUCAGUUCGGAUCGCAGU
rnacentral:rRNA from 1 species